rnacentral:lncRNA from 1 species
ACUCAGGCCCGCUCCCACACCGUGGAGUGUACUUUCAACACAUCUCUCUGUUUGUUGCUUCAUUCUUUCCUUGCUUUGUGUGUUUUGUCCAAUUCUUGGGAACCUGGACACCCUCCACCAGUAACACUGUGGCCCUUGGGGAACGAGUCAUUAAAAUUUUAACGACAAGUGCAGCUCUUCGAAGGAUAUUCCAGUCAAAGGAAGAGCAUCAAAGAAGAGGUUUUUUGCUUGGGUUACUGGCAAUCAAAGAAUGUGUCACUAACACCUGGACGGGGUUUUGAAGUACUAGCAGGAGUUCCUCAGGUUCACAGAGGAGUGCUAUGAGGGAGGACAGCCAAGGAGAUGGAAGGGCCUGGAUGUUUAGGUUACCCUCGCCUCCCACAAGAGUUGCCCAUGGUUCAAAAGCCAAUUGUCUCCGUCGCUAAGGGUGGGACAGAAUCCAAGGCACAACCUAUACUCUAGGGGCCCCUUGGGUUGAAGCUGAGUCCGUGACCACCCCUGAAAAUGCACUGUUGCUGGCUUCUCCUCCUCCCUACUUGGCUUUGCCCACCUCUUUCUGUCCCUGCGGGAGAACAUCCUCAGGAAAUCCCCGG